AGUGAUGGCCAUGGCCAAAGGCAACUAACUGUUCUAGCAAGAGAUGAGCGAAUGGAGAUCACCUCAAGCAUGAAUGGUUAUUGCGUCUCAAGACUAGCUCGAGGUGAC